rnacentral:rRNA from 1 species
UAUUGCACAAUGGGGGGAACCCUGAUGCAGCGACGCCGCGUGAGUGAAGAAGUAUUUCGGCAUGUAAAGCUCUAUCAGCAGGGAAGAAAAUGACGGUACCUGAAUAAGAAGACCCGGCUAACUACGUGCCAGCAGCCGCGGUAAUACGUAGGGGGCAAGCGUUAGCCGGAUUUACUGGGUGUAAAGGGAGCGUAGACGGUUAUGCAAGUCUGGAGUGAAAGCCCGGGGCUCAACCCCGGGACUGCUUUGGAAACUGUAAAACUGGAGUGCAGGAGGGGCAGGCGGAAUUCCUGGUGUAGCGGUGAAAUGCGUAGAUAUCAGGAGGAACACCGGUGGCGAAGGCGGCCUGCUGGACUGCGACUGACGUUGAGGCCCGAAAGCGUGGGGAGCAAACAGG